rnacentral:rRNA from 1 species
CCUACGGGUGGCAGCAGUGAGGAAUAUUGGUCAAUGGACGAGAGUCUGAACCAGCCAAGUAGCGUGAAGGAUGACUGCCCUAUGGGUUGUAAACUUCUUUUAUAAUGGAAUAAAAUGUUCCACGUGUGGCUUUUUGUAUGUACCUUAUGAAUAAGGAUCGGCUAACUCCGUGCCAGCAGCCGCGGUAAUACGGAGGAUCCGAGCGUUAUCCGGAUUUAUUGGGUUUAAAGGGAGCGUAGGUGGAUUGUUAAGUCAGUUGUGAAAGUUUGCGGCUCAACCGUAAAAUUGCAGUUGAUACUGGCAGUCUUGAGUACAGUAGAGGUGGGCGGAAUUCGUGGUGUAGCGGUGAAAUGCUUAGAUAUCACGAAGAACUCCGAUUGCGAAGGCAGCUUACUGGACUGCAACUGACACUGAGGCUCGAAAGUGUGGGUAUCAAACAGGAUUAGAUACCCGUGUAGUC